GACGAACGCUGGCGGCGUGCCUAACACAUGCAAGUCGAACGGUAAGGCCCUUCGGGGUACACGAGUGGCGAACGGGUGAGUAACACGUGGGUGAUCUGCCCUGCACUUCGGGAUAAGCCUGGGAAACUGGGUCUAAUACCGGAUAGGACCACUGCCUGCAUGGGUGGUGGUGGAAAGCUUUUGCGGUGUGGGAUGGGCCCGCGGCCUAGCAGCUUGUUGGUGGGGUGAUGGCCUACCAAGGCGACGACGGGUAGCCGGCCUGAGAGGGUGACCGGCCACACUGGGAAUGAGAUACGGCCCAGACUCCUACGGGAGGCAGCAGUGGGGAAUAUUGCACAAUGGGCGCAAGCCUGAUGCAGCGACGCCGCGUGAGGGAUGACGGCCUUCGGGUUGUAAACCUCUUUCAGCACCGACGAAGCGCAAGUGACGGUAGGUGCAGAAGAAGGACCGGCCAACUACGUGCCAGCCGCCGCGGUAA
rnacentral:rRNA from 1 species